GAUCAUGGCUCAGGAUGAACACUAGCUACAGGCUUAACACAUGCAAGUCGAGGGGCAGCAUGGUCUUAGCUUGCUAAGACUGAUGGCGACCGGCGCACGGGUGAGUAACACGUAUCCAACCUGCCGUCUACUCUUGGACAGCCUUCUGAAAGGAAGAUUAAUACAAGAUGGCAUCAUGAGUCCGCAUGCUCACAUGAUUAAAGGUAUUCCGGUAGACGA
rnacentral:rRNA from 1 species